GUAGGUGGCAAGCGUUGUCCGGAAUUAUUGGGCGUAAAGCGCGCGCAGGCGGUCCUUUAAGUCUGAUGUGAAAGCCCGCGGCUCAACCGUGGAGGGUCAUUGGAAACUGGGGGACUUGAGUACAGAAGAGGAAAGCGGAAUUCCAAGUGUAGCGGUGAAAUGCGUAGAGAUUUGGAGGAACACCAGUGGCGAAGGCGGCUUUCUGGUCUGUAACUGACGCUGAGGCGCGAAAGCGUGGGGAGCAGACAGGGAUUAGAUACCCUGGUAGUCCACGCCGUAAACGAUGAGUGCUAAGUGUUAGGGGGUUUCCCGCCCCCUUAGUGCUGCAGCUAACGCAUUAAGCACUCCGCCUGGGGAGUACGCCGCAAGGCUG
rnacentral:rRNA from 1 species